AGAGUUUGAUCCUGGCUCAGGAUGAACGCUAGCUACAGGCUUAACACAUGCAAGUCGAGGGGCAGCAUGGUCUUAGCUUGCUAAGACUGAUGGCGACCGGCGCACGGGUGAGUAACACGUAUCCAACCUGCCGUCUACUCUUGGACAGCCUUCUGAAAGGAAGAUUAAUACAAGAUGGCAUCAUGAGUCCGCAUGUUCACAUGAUUAAAGGUAUUCCGGUAGACGAUGGGGAUGCGUUCCAUUAGAUAGUAGGCGGGGUAACGGCCCACCUAGUCUUCGAUGGAUAGGGGUUCUGAGAGGAAGGUCCCCCACAUUGGAACUGAGACACGGUCCAGACUCCUACGGGAGGCAGCAGUGAGGAAUAUUGGUCAAUGGGCGAGAGCCUGAACCAGCCAAGUAGCGUGAAGGAUGACUGCCCUAUGGGUUGUAAACUUCUUUUAUAAAGGAAUAAAGUCGGGUAUGUAUACCCGUUUGCAUGUACUUUAUGAAUAAGGAUCGGCUAACUCCGUGCCAGCAGCCGCGGUAAUACGGAGGAUCCGAGCGUUAUCCGGAUUUAUUGGGUUUAAAGGGAGCGUAGAUGGAUGUUUAAGUCAGUUGUGAAAGUUUGCGGCUCAACCGUAAAAUUGCAGUUGAUACUGGAUAUCUUGAGUGCAGUUGAGGCAGGCGGAAUUCGUGGUGUAGCGGUGAAAUGCUUAGAUAUCACGAAGAACUCCGAUUGCGAAGGCAGCUCACUGGACUGCAACUGACACUGAUGCUCGAAAGUGUGGGUAUCAAACAGGAUUAGAUACCCUGGUAGUCCACACAGUAAACGAUGAAUACUCGCUGUUUGCGAUAUACAGUAAGCGGCCAAGCGAAAGCAUUAAGUAUUCCACCUGGGGAGUACGCCGGCAACGGUGAAACU
rnacentral:rRNA from 1 species